rnacentral:rRNA from 1 species
AUUGAACGCUGGCGGCAUGCUUUUUACACACGCAAGUCGAACGGCAGCACGGGAGCAAUCCUGGUGGCGAGUGGCGAACGGGUGAGUAAUAUAUCGGAACGUGCCCAGUCGUGGGGGAUAACGCAGCGAAAGCUGUGCUAAUACCGCAUACGAUCUCUGGAUGAAAGCGGGGGACUCAGCAAUGGGCCUCGCGCGAUUGGAGCGGCCGAUAUCAGAUUAGCUAGUUGGUGGGGUAAAAGCCUACCAAGGCGACGAUCUGUAGCUGGUCUGAGAGGACGACCAGCCACACUGGAACUGAGACACGGUCCAGACUCCUACGGGAGGCAGCAGUGGGGAAUUUUUGGACAAUGGGCGAAAAGCCUGAUCCAGCAAUGCCGCGUGCAGGAUGAAGGCCUCGGUUGUAACU